CGCUUACCGUGAAUUGCCUCGAUUUCAUACCCGUGGACACGUGAUUUUGUUUGCAAGAAGCGGGUUUCAGAAUAAAGAUCAGAAUGCCACCACCAAUAUCUACAAAGCUGUACAUUGGGAAUCUACCUGAAACAUGCAGAAAGGCUGACCUACAGAAGAUGUUUGAGGCAUAUGGAUCAGUUGUAGAAUGUGACAUUGUCAGGAAUUACUGUUUUAUUCACUUUGAAAAUCCAGAUGAAGCAAAAAUGGCUCAAGCAAAUCUAGAUGGUGUGGAAUUUGAGGGGAUUAAAUUAAAAGUGGAGAUGUCUCACAGCAAAGUAAGACAAAAGCCUGGAAUGGGAGGGAAAGGGGAGUGUUACAGAUGUGGAAAGGAAGGACAUUGGUCAAAGGAUUGCCCAAAGGGACCAUCCCGUGGAAAGCCCCGAGGACCUGAGCCCCCAUACAGGGACCCCUACAGAGAUCCCUAUGAUCCUUACUACAGGGAGAGGUACUUGCCUCCUCCACCACCACAUGACAGAUACAGGCCUUACCCAGAACCCUACGACAGAAGGCCACUCCCCCCUCCACCACCAAGAGACCCAUACUACAGAGAGAGGGACCCAUAUAGUAGACCACCCCCAGAGUAUUAUGGACGUCGAUCACCCCCUCCCCCUCCAAUAAGACCAAGAGAAGAUCCAUAUUAUGAUUCAUACUAUCCAAGAAGAAGCAGUAUUGAGCUUGGAUGAAUUGGUGGGUUUUUCAUCCUGCAAAAGGCCAUAACUUGUGCAGUCCACUGGCAAGACAAUGGGUUACCUGUAAAGAAAAUGCAAGUACUAGACAUGGAAGAUACAAACAGAGCAUAGUAAAAUUUUGAUAAGGGAGCCCUAAAUUCAUAAACUCUGCCGGGUAUUGGUCGCACCAUUUUGCAAGGUUUAUGUGGUAUCCACAAUUGAUACAGAAUAGCCAGAAUCCCAUCUUUUUGGAAGGAAGAUUUGUAGCAGACGAGAGAACAAAGAAGAAGAGUGGUGAUGUUACAGAAGAUGUAAACAUUAAAAUUUGAAUCAUUUACAUGUACAUCUCUUGCUUUUACAUGAUAUAGGAACAUUAUUUGGUUUAUUAGAACCACAUGUUCAAUAGAUUCACGCUUUUCAAAA